rnacentral:rRNA from 1 species
UUGACCUCGGAUCAGGUAGGAAUACCCGCUGAACUUAAGCAUAUCAAUAAGCGGAGGAAAAGAAACCAACAGGGAUUGCCCCAGUAACGGCGAGUGAAGCGGCAACAGCUCAAAUUUGAAAUCUGGCCCCAGGCCCGAGUUGUAAUUUGCAGAGGAUGCUUUGGGCGCGGCGCCUUCCGAGUUCCCUGGAACGGGACGCCAUAGAGGGUGAGAGCCCCGUACGGUCGGACGCCUAGCCUAUGUAAAGCUCCUUCGACGAGUCGAGUAGUUUGGGAAUGCUGCUCAAAAUGGGAGGUAUAUUUCUUCUAAAGCUAAAUACCGGCCAGAGACCGAUAGCGCACAAGUAGAGUGAUCGAAAGAUGAAAAGCACUUUGAAAAGAGGGUUAAACAGCACGUGAAAUUGUUAAAGGGGAAGCGCUUGUGACCAGACUUGCGUCCGGUGAAUCAUCCAGCCUUCUGGCUGGUGCACUUCGCCGGCACAGGCCAGCAUCAGCUCGCUGUCGGGGACAAAAGCUUUGGGAACGUAGCUCCUCUCGGGGAGUGUUAUAGCCCGUUGCAUAAUACCCUUCGGCGGGCUGAGGUACGCGCUCCGCAAGGAUGCUGGCGUAAUGGUCAUCAGCGACCCGUCUUGAAACACGGACCAAGGAGUCAACCUUAUGUGCGAGUGUUUGGGUGUUAAACCCCUACGCGUAAUGAAAGUGAACGCAGGUGAGAGCUUCGGCGCAUCAUCGACCGAUCCUGAUGUUCUCGGAUGGAUUUGAGUAAGAGCAUAUAGGGUUGGACCCGAAAGAAGGUGAACUAUGCGUGUAUAGGGUGAAGCCAGAGGAAACUCUGGUGGAGGCUCGCAGCGGUUCUGACGUGCAAAUCGAUCGUCAAAUAUGCGCAUGGGGGCGAAAGACUAAUCGAACCUUCUAGUAGCUGGUUUCCGCCGAAGUUUCCCUCAGGAUAGCAGUGUUGAGCUCAGUUUUAUGAGGUAAAGCGAAUGAUUAGGGACUCGGGGGCGCUAUAUUGCCUUCAUCCAUUCUCAAACUUUAAAUAUGUAAGAAGCCCUUGUUGCUUAAUUGAACGUGGGCAUUCGAAUGUAUCAACACUAGUGGGCCAUUUUUGGUAAGCAGAACUGGCGAUGCGGGAUGAACCGAACGCGAGGUUAAGGUGCCAGAGUAGACGCUCAUCAGACACCA